rnacentral:rRNA from 1 species
CCCUUAGAUGUUCUGGGCCGCACGCGCGCUACACUGAUGCGUUCAACAAGUUUCCUUGGCCGAGAGGCCUGGACAAUCUUCUUAAUAUGUAUCGUGAUAGGGAUAGAUUAUUGCAAUUAUUAAUCUUGAACGAGGAAUUCCUAGUAAACGCAGAUCAUCAAUCUGCAUUGAUUACGUCCCUGCCCUUUGUACACACCGCCCGUCGCACCUACCGAUUGGAUGUUCCGGUGAAGCCUCGGGAUGAGGACUGGUGCCUUUAUUGGCAUGAGUUGUUCAGAACUUGUCUAAACCUUAUCAUCUAGAGGAAGGUGAAGUCGUAACA